AGAUAUAGUCAUGUCGUCACCACAUCUAUAUGAUAAUAUAUUCUGAGAUCGGAAAAUCGGCCAAUACUUUUUUAACUUAAAUUUAAGAGUACCAACAUGGUGCAAUCGAAAAUCAACGAACCAGAUGUAAGUGUAAAAGUUUAAUAAAGUUUUUAAAAUGGACAACUUCAAUCUACUGGAAGUUAUCUGAAGAUAUGAUUCGAUAGUUUUGUAAUGUCUUAUGGAAUAGAAGUAUUAUCAUAAAAAUACUGAAAAUCUCUUUCUACAAAGAAGCUUUAUACGUAGAUCUUGUGACUAGAUGACCUUCAGGCUCCAUAAUCAAACGCAAAUCAAUAUCUGUCAGCCAACAACUCAUCGAGACAAAUUAAACAAGUUGAAACUGGAGUUGCAUUGUUACAUUAUAAAGUUUCUAUGACCAAUUUUCAACUCUAUUAUUAAAUUAACUUUAUAGUGAUAGUAACAUACACAUAAUAUAAUAUAUAAUUUAGCUCUUUUGGAAGUCACCGAGCCUUUGAUAAUGACAUUUUAUUUUUAACAUAUUAUAAUUGUUGAAUACGAACAAAAAUAUUGUAAUACAAAUUAUUUCA